UAUAGCCACACCACCCUGAAUGUGCCCAGUCUCUUAUGAUCUUAGAAGUUAAGCAGGGUUGGGCCUGUUUAGUUCUUGGCUGGGAGAAAUGCACUUAGGUGUGACUGUAC
rnacentral:rRNA from 1 species